UACGGAGGAUCCGAGCGUUAUCCGGAUUUAUUGGGUUUAAAGGGUGCGUAGGCGGCCUGUUAAGUCAGGGGUGAAAGACGGUAGCUCAACUAUCGCAGUGCCCUUGAUACUGAUGGGCUUGAAUGUACUAGAGGUAGGCGGAAUGUGACAAGUAGCGGUGAAAUGCAUAGAUAUGUCACAGAACACCAAUUGCGAAGGCAGCUCACUAUGGUAUUAUUGACGCUGAGGCACGAAAGCGUGGGGAUCAAACAGG
rnacentral:rRNA from 1 species